rnacentral:rRNA from 1 species
UGAGGAAUAUUGGACAAUGGGUGGAAGCCUGAUCCAGCCAUCCCGCGUGUAGGAUGACGGCCUUAUGGGUUGUAAACUACUUUUAUCUGGGGAUAAACCUACUCACGUGUGAGUAGCUGAAGGUACCAGAAGAAUAAGCACCGGCUAACUCCGUGCCAGCAGCCGCGGUAAUACGGAGGGUGCAAGCGUUAUCCGGAUUUAUUGGGUUUAAAGGGUCCGUAGGCGGAUUAAUCAGUCAGUGGUGAAAUCUCAUAGCUUAACUAUGAAACUGCCAUUGAUACUGUUAGUCUUGAGUGAUGUUGAAGUUGCUGGAAUGUGUAGUGUAGCGGUGAAAUGCUUAGAUAUUACGCAGAACACCAAUUGCGAAGGCAGGUGACUAAACAUCAACUGACGCUGAUGGACGAAAGCGUGGGGAGCGAACAG